GCACCACUCAGUAAGGGACCGAUUGGAUCCUAGAAUUUAAUUGAAAAAUAGUAUAACACAGCUACCUACGAGCCUCCACGACGUUUCGAGUCUCUUAGCCGUCGGAUCGCUGUAAUGUACGAUCUAGAUCACUUCUCGGUCGUCUCCAAAUCGUUGACGCGCUCCAGAAGUCGUUUCGCGGGCUGCUGCUUCACAGAAUGAGCGUCCGUUUCUCUCAAUGAUCGGGCCAUCAAAGGCCCAAGUCGAGUUGAAGCAAUUCCACUCCCACGGGCCACAAGUCGUCCAGUUUGUUGCGAGCGCUAUCCCCUCACCUGCUUUGUUCCUUGACUUCCUUCGCCCACGCCGCCGCCGUUCCAUCGUCUGCGAUGCGCCGCCGCUGUCCUCCGUCCCGUCGGCGAGCUUCUGCUGCGCGUCUGCCUCCGCAUCGGUGCCCUCCACUCGCCCUGUUCUCUUCCUCUGCAGGCCCCUUUAAUUUCGUGUCUUGCAGCUUUCCUCCAUUGCGGCUGCGCCGGCCGCCCAUGCCGUCGACUUCUCGCCAGCCGUCCUCCUCCUGCAUACGCCUCCAUGUCCUUGCAGCUGUACCGCGUGUUCAUCCCCAUUCCGUAACUGAAGCUGAAACUGCCCCUGUAAUUGUCCUGAUAAAGGUCCAUUGUCUACCUCCUGUAUGCCUCUAUCCUCUAUUUUGUGAAUCCCCUUGGCACCGAUCAUUGAGAGACACAUGGAGAGGUAAAACUUAAUCAGUUAGGUUGUUAUGUGUGUUGAAUUAUUAGCUUGGUCAAUAAGAAAGCUAAUUGAAACUCAGUUUCUUCGGGAUGCAAGAUAAUUACUGGUUGAAAUCGCUUUCCUAAGAAAGUAAUCAAUAUACGGCAUUGGUCGAACAAAAUGAGCAGCAAGCCAGCAACGACCCAAUACCCCAGGAGUGAUUUUUGUUGUUCUUGAUGGGCCACUUAUUUUAUCAAACCAUUGUUGGUAUAGGAGGAUAAUUUACUAUGAUUCAGUUGCUAAGAAUGCUCUGAUGUGUAGUUGACGUGGGAAGACAAGUUUGUUUAACAAAAGGACAAGAUUCUGGUAAUCUGGAAGUAUGAAAUGCACCGAACGCCAACAUAGCAGAACCUGUAUUCCAUAGGGUUCAGGAUGGUCUAACAAGCCCGAGGCUUUGAGCUCCACGGAAACUAUUUCUAUGGUGAAAACUGAAAAGAGUGAGAAGUCAGCCCUUGGAGACAUGGAACACACAUAAAUUAUUUGAAGAUCAUAUUAUUCGGGAGACCAAUAAUAGUUAUGUCAAUCUGCCUCGAUUAUUAUGUGAGAAACCCUUACUUUCCCCCAAUCCAUCAAAUUUAGGAAUCUAGCUACAAAAUGUGAUCUCUUUAUGGUCAGUGGAGCUUUAUCGCAAUCUUUUAUGAGAUUAAUUUAUAACUUUUAGUUUCAGAGAUCAACUUUCUAUUUAUCAUGAGCUAAUAGGGAAAAGCUACAGAAAGCUGAAUAUGGCGUUCAUGUUUAUUUCAUUUUUUCCUUUCUUUAAA